UAUUGGGCAAUGGGCGAAAGCCUGACCCAGCAACGCCGCGUGAAGGAUGAAGGCCCUCGGGUCGUAAACUUCUGUCGAGAGGGAAGAAUGCGUACGGGUAAACAAUCCGUGCGUUUGACGGUACCUCCAAAGGAAGCACCGGCUAACUCCGUGCCAGCAGCCGCGGUAAUACGGAGGGUGCAAGCGUUGUUCGGAUUCAUUGGGCGUAAAGCGAGUGUAGGCGGUUCGACAAGUCGGAUGUGAAAUCCCGGGGCCCAACCCCGGAACUGCAUCCGAUACUGUCUGGCUAGAGUCCCGGAGAGGGUGGCGGAAUUCCCGGUGUAGGGGUGAAAUCCGUAGAUAUCGGGAGGAACACCAGUGGCGAAGGCGGCCACCUGGACGGUGACUGACGCUGAGACUCGAAAGCGUGGGUAGCAAACAG
rnacentral:rRNA from 1 species